CCUACGGGCGGCUGCAGUGGGGAAUAUUGGGCAAUGGGCGAAAGCCUGACCCAGCAACGCCGCGUGAGGGAAGAAGGUUCUCGGAUUGUAAACCUCUGUCCUUGGUGACGAAAAAAAUGACGGUAGCCAAGGAGGAAGCCCCGGCUAACUACGUGCCAGCAGCCGCGGUAAUACGUAGGGGGCAAGCGUUGUCCGGAAUGACUGGGCGUAAAGGGCGUGUAGGCGGCCGAUUAAGUCUGGAGUGAAAGUCCUGCUUUCAAGGUGGGAAUUGCUUUGGAGACUGGUUGGCUUGAGUGCGGAAGAGGCAAGUGGAAUUCCCAGUGUAGCGGUGAAAUGCGUAGAGAUUGGGAGGAACACCAGUGGCGAAGGCGACUUGCUGGGCCGUAACUGACGCUGAGGCGCGAAAGCGUGGGGAGCGAACAGGCUUAGAUACCCUGGUAGUC
rnacentral:rRNA from 1 species